rnacentral:rRNA from 1 species
UACGUAGGGUGCAAGCGUUGUCCGGAUUUAUUGGGCGUAAAGAGCUCGUAGGCGGUUUGUCGCGUCGGAUGUGAAAACCCAGGGCUCAACCCUGGGCCUGCAUUCGAUACGGGCAAACUAGAGUAUGGCAGGGGAGACUGGAAUUCCUGGUGUAGCGGUGAAAUGCGCAGAUAUCAGGAGGAACACCGAUGGCGAAGGCAGGUCUCUGGGCAUUAACUGACGCUGAGGAGCGAAAGCACGGGGAGCGAACAGG